CGGGAUUGGCUGCGGCGGAGCUGACCCGCCCUUUGCGCCAGGCCUCAGGGGCCCUCUGCGAGGUCGCCUCCAGGUGGGCGUCGCGGCGGACUUCGGGGACGGCGCUCCCGGAGCCCGGCUUGGUCGCCCACUCUGCGGCGCUGGUGUGAGAAGAACGCGUCCUGAGGCCAGUUCCAGAAGCUCCUCUGUUUCUCGCGGCCAGAGUCUACUGCUUUCAGUAUGGCCUGGGAUAGCAGUAGAAGAUUCCCAAGUCCUUGGGCCCCUGCACGUGGGAGACCCAGAAGAAGCUCCUGGCUCCUGGCUUUGCAUCGGCACAGCUCCAGCCAUUGAAGCCAACUGGGGAGUGAACCAGCGGAAGGAAGACCUCUCUCUCUAUCUCUACCUUUCUCUGUAACUCUGUCUUUAAUAAUAAUAAAAGAAAAAUUAAAUGGAAGCAUAUAAAAUAUAAAAGAAAACUAGGGUGCUGGUACCUUCAAGGGGAAAGUUAAUACUGAAGUACAGAUGGCUUCAGAACUAGCCAUUGCUGCACUUGGGGAAAAAUGGUGGUGUUGUCACUACACCCUCUGACCCAAAACAUCUGGGUAAGCUUCAUGUCUAUUUCUUUUUCUCCUUUCCCUCUUUGUCUCAUAUUGCCUGCUGCUUUUGAAUUAGUUGGUGAAUAAUAAUUAUUGGUGGUAAUUGCUUGGGCUGCAUGUAUCACAUGGGCUAAUAAUGAGUAGGGCAUGUUGCUGACAGAUGGACCAAGGCACAAAGAGCCUCUAAACCUCCUCUGUGUUCUCCAGACACUGCCUGAACCACCUCCCACUGAAUACCUCAUACAGAUCUCAAGCCUAACAUUUCUGGAGUAUCCAUUUUUCUAUUUCACCUCAAUGUGCUCUUGCAGUAUUUUCUAUCUAAGUCAGCAACAAUUCUAUAUUUCUGGGUAUUUUAGCCCAAAAUGUGGUGUCCUCUGGACUUUCUUUAAACCCUGCACCCCCUGUGAGUUCUGUCUUCAGACUUUGCUUAUGAUCCUCCUGCCUCUCUGGGUGCUGCUCUUCCCCACCCUCUUGCCUGAGUGGUGGUGGUACCUUCUAGCUGACCUCUCUGCUGCACUCCUGCUUACAGUGGAGCAACAUAGCUCUGGGUUCUUUCUAAGGCAUGGACUGCCACUCUUCUGCACAGAACCUCCAGUGGUGUCCAUGCCAUUCUAUGAGGUUGGAUGUAAUUUGCACCACCCCAUCCCCUUCUAUGCUUCCUUUGCUUGUGCAGAUCUGUCGCUGGCUGCUUCCCCAGCCUUUCUUCACAGGCUGAGCUCCUUGAGGCCUCUGACCCUGCUGUUCCUUCUAAGUGGUGACUUGUCCACCUGUAAUCUUUAUGGUUCUGAGCCCCAUUUUUCCAGGUCUCUGCUUAUUAGGGAGAUCUUUCCUGACUAUGCUAAACAGAAGAGAACACAUAGUUGCACAAGCCCACACAUGCACACACACACAGUCACUCUGCUCCCCUUGCUCUGUGUGGUGUUUUCCCUGGGCAGCUAUCACAAAUGGUCUAAGUAUGAUUUUCCCUGUCUUCUGUUUGUUCUGUGUCUCUAAUCUCAUGAUGAUGGGGAUCUUUGGUCACUGCUCUAUCUCUAGCUUGGAGAGUGUUGUCUAAUGUAUAGAAGUGACUCACUUAAAAUUUGUUGAAUGAAUGAACUGGGUUUUUAUAAGCUACAGACAUGAAAAUCAAUUGCAGCUUGUUGGCUAAAUGCUUUUACCAGGAUUUGAGUGCUCUUACAUUCAAACAUGAGUUAAACAUUUCCUGAUCAAACCACCCAAUUGAAAAUUCUUUUUUUAAAGAUUUAUUUAUUUAAUUGAAAGAGUUACACAUUUAGAGAAGGAGAGGCAGGGAGGGAGGGAGAGAGAGAGAGAGAGAGAGAAAGUCUUCCAUCCACUGGUUCACUCUCCAAUUGGUCACAGUGGCCCAAGCUGUGCCGAUCUGAAGCCAGGAGCCAGGCGCUUCUUCCAGGUCUCCCAUGCAGGUACAGGGCCCAAGGACUUGGGCCAUCAUCUGCUUCUUUCCCAGGACAUAGCAGAGAGCUAAAGUGGAACAUCUGGGAUUCAAACCGGUGCCCAUAUGGGAUGCCAGCACUGCAGGCAGUGGCUUUACCUGCUAUGCCACAGUGCCAGACCCUGAAUUUUUUUUUAAAUUCAAUAUAUAAAAGGUAAAAUGGAUUGUACUCAUUUUCUCUGAAAAUCAAGAAUUUGAGAAAAAUAGCUACUAUUUCAUUUUCUUCAUAAUUGGAAGCUUUCUAGAAAUAUUCACCAUAUGAUUCUCAUUUCACUCUAAUUUAUUAUAGAGGAGCUAUUUAUUAUAGAGGAGCUCCAUCAUUUACCAGUUUCAGAGUGAGCUGCCUCAAAUACAAAGAUGAAUGUUUUACUGUAAAACAGUCACAAGCAUUUUGGAAUGUCUUGCAAUAUAGAGUAUUUUUGAAGUCAUUGUCACCACAGUUUGGUAGUGGUGGUUGUGCAGCAGCCAGAAAUCACCUGAUGUGACUGGGUGGGAGGCCUGGGCAGAAUCAGUAUCCUCAGAAUCUUGGGCUUGGUCCUGCUGGGCAGCUCUGCAGUCAUCCUAGGAGGUAUUCAUUGAAAAGCAAUAAAAUAAGCCUUACCACAGGCUGACUGUUAAGUUGUAAUUUCACAUCUGAAUAAUUUAGUUGGUUGUACUAUAGGUUUCUGAGUUAUGGAAGAAUUUUUUAAAAUACAUUUAUGUGAAAGUGUGACAAUGCAGAGAUCUCUCGUCCACCGAUUCAGUCCCCAAAUUGCAGCAACAGCUGGAGCUGGGCCAGGUCGAUGAAGCUAGAGGUUGGGAACUCAAUCUGGGUUUCCUGCAUGGGUGGCAGGGACCUAACCACUUCCAUCAUCUGCUGCAACCAGGGUCUACAAUAGCUACAAGCUGGGAUUGGGAGUUGAGUCAGGACUUGAACCCAGGCACACUGAUACAUGAUUCAGGCAUCCAAGCUAUGUAUUAACCACUACACCAUAGGUCCACCCUAGAAAAAAUGUUUAGGUCACAUUUUUCUUCUCUUUCUUAGAGGGCCAAUUUCAGAAUAAAAAGAGUUAUUUAUCUUGGGUGAACUUUAUGGAAGAAAGUUUAUGCCAUCUAAUUUUUAAAUGCUUGGAAUAGUCUAUUUUUUUUUUUUUGAGGUUUUCUACCUAUUGUUUUAAUGGGAAGAUGUUGAUAUCAGUAAGUCAUUGCCUUAUUUUUCAGCAUUUAUGUAGGAUUCAGCAGCCAGAAGCACAUUUUUCUCAACUUAUUGGAGCUUUGGGUGGCUAUAAUAUCCAGUGUAUUUUGGACCUGCUGAAUUUGGAGUGAGUUAGUGCAUGUGGUUUAUUUGGUGGUGGUGGAGUGAAGCACACAAGCCAUUUAGCAGUGGAAGAAGGAUUCCUCUCAGACUACAUUAUUCCAGUACACUGCACUUCUUUCUAUGCUGCCUAUUUUCCUUCAAAAAUAUUUUAAGAGAAAAAGGUGCUCAACUAAAGUAUUUCUCAACCUCCUUUCCUAAUACUACUUGAUAAUAAUUUCUUGCUGAGUCAAGAACUGAAAUACUGGGGCCAGAACUGUCAUGUAGUGGGCCCAGUCUGCCUUCAGAGCCAGCAUCCCAUAAGAGCGCAGCUUUGAGGCCCAGCUACUCCACUUCUGAUCUAGAUCCUUGCUAAUCUGUCUGAGAAAGCACAGGAGGAUGACCCAAGUUAUAUAGCCCCUGCACCCACAUAGGAGACACAGAAGAAGCUUUUGGCUCCUGGCUUCAAAUCCACUUAGCUCUGGCCUUUGCGGCCAUUUGGACAGUGAGCAAGCAGAUUGAAGACCUGUUUCUCUGUCUUUCUCUCUCUCUGUUUCUAACUCUGCCUCUUAAAUAAAUACAUCUUUAAAAAAAGAACUGGAAUACUGAGUAGCCCUGUUAAGUGAAAUAAUAUAGGAUUGCUUAUCCAGAGCCUCUGUUGGCUUUUGCUAGUUUUGUUUCUGUAAUUACAAGUCUUGACUCCAGAAGACAUUUUCCAGUUCUCAUUUCUUUGGGUGGCUGUUUCUCAUUUACCCUGUGUUGGCAUUCUGCUAGAACAUGAAAUGUGCUAGAGUAACUAUCACAUGCUUGCAUUUAACAGAUAUUUAGUCAGUGGUUAGUGUUUGUCAGACACUGAUGGUCUGGAGAGAGACUAACUUGAGUUGUGAAGCUUUCCAAAACAGAUAUUAUAUUUUGGUGAGUGUUAACAUUUACCUUACUGAAUUACAGGUACUGUGCAUGCAUGCAUGAAUUAUAUAGAUUAAAUCAGGUAGAUUUCAUAAUGGCCCCAUUAAUGUAAGUGCUGUUAUAUUAAGGUUCUCAGUAAGUUCUUUAGUACUACUUUGAUUUCUGUGAGCUCUUUAAUAUUUCCAGUUGUGUGUAAGUUUGCAUUAUUUAAAGCACAAUAAGUAGGCCAUCAUUGUACUUAUAGAGUUAUUUAUUUGUGUAUUAACCUCAACUAAAGACUCUGUAACAUUGGUGGUAUUUUGUGCAUAGGACUUCUCUUACUACUUAAACUUAAGACAUUUCAGGUACUUUAAAAAGUUUAAGGCCAAAUCAGGAUUGGUCAGCAUUCCUCUGUUGGUUGCUGUCACUAAGAUAUCUUCUCCUGCUUUUUGGUUAAGAGAAUUCAUUUUUAUAACUCGCUUUCUCAGAAAUAACAACGCUUCUUCAUAAUUUCCUUUUUUGAAUUAUUUAUUUAUUUAUUUAAGAGAUAUAACUACAGAAGAGAGGGGGAGACAGAGAGAGAGGUCUUCCAUCUGCUGGUUCACUCCCUAAAUGGCCACAAUGGCCAGAGCCAGGCCAAUCUGAAUCCUGGAACCUGGAGCUUCCUCUAGGUUCCCACAUAGGGGCAUGGGCCCGAGGUCUUGGGCCUUUUACUGCUUUCCAAGGUCUUCUUCAGGGAGCUGGAUUGGAAAUGGAGCAGCCAGGACUCAAAUCUUUGCCCGUAAGGGAUGCUUAACGUACUAUGCUACAGUUUCAGCCACAUUCCUAAUUUCUUUUUUUAAAAAUUUAUUUAUUUAUUUAUUUGAAAGUCAGAGUUACACAGAGAGAGGAGAGGCAGAGAGAGAGGUCUUCCAUCCUAUGGUUCACUCCCCAGAUGGCUGCAAUUGUUGGAGCUGUGUCAAUCUGAAGCCAGGAGUCAGGAGAUUCUUCUGGGUCUCCCACAUGGGUGCAGGGGCCCAAAGGCUUGGGCCAUCUUCUACAGCUGGAUCAAAAGUGGAGUGGCCAGGUCUUGAACCGGCACCCAUAUGGGAUGCUGGCUCUUCAGGCCAGGGCAUUAACCUGCUGCACCUCAGCGCCAGCCCCUACAUUCCUAAUUUCUAAACUGGUGAGAAAGAUAAGAUUUAAAAAGAGUUCUUGUGGUCCAGUAUCAUGACAUAGCAGGCUAAGCUGCUGCUUGUGAUGCUGGCAUCCCAUAUCUGAUUGUCAGGUUGAAUCCUGGCUGUUCUGCUUUAGCUCUAGCUCCCUGAUACUGUGUUGGAAAUGCUUGGGACACUGCCACCUAUGUGGGACACUAUGAUGGAAGUCUUGGAUCCUGUCUUCAUUGUAGCCCAAUCCUGGAUGUUUUGGGCAUUUUGAAAGUGCCCCAUGGAUGGAAGAUCUCUCUGUUGCUCUGCCUUUUUAAUAGAUAAAAAUAAACACUAAACAAUUAUAACCAUCAGUGUGUAGAAGCCAGUAUUUGCAUUUUUUUUUGUUUACCACCCCCACCUUUUAAAAGAAAUUCUAUGUAAUCUUGUUCCAUUCUUUCUGUGUGGAUAGCCCUUUCCAAAUGCAUGUUUCCACCUGGUGUCAAGUACUGUCAUCACCUGGUAGAUCUUGCCAAAUUUCCUGAAACAAAACUUGAACUUACCAAGAAAUAUGGCUCUAUUUUAAACUGCUAUCACCAAAGAUGAACUCUUCCAAAUGCUCAGUACUCCAAAGGAUUCAAGGCAGAUUUUCUUUGGUUUUGCUCUUGGAUGGGUGAUAAAUAUGUCAGACAAGAAAAUCUUGAAAUCUAUAGAUGAGAAUUCCCUCAACUAUUAUAGCUUGCAAAUUCCAUUCCAAAAAGCAAAAUAUGGAAAUUGUAUCAGAAAAGAGACCAAACCAUACAGAUUUCUCAAUGAAUUUUCCUGAUGUGUAAUUCUCCAAAUGUCCAUUCAAUUUUCAGUGCAUAUUUUUAAUUUACAUCUAAAAUUAAAAUAAACCUUCAGGAAGCAAGGACUACCUGGAAGAAUUGAGUCUGUGUGUUCUAUCUCUGUUGAAGGAACAUGGUAACCAUUUUAGACCCUAAGACUGUAUGAGCUUUCCCCCCUGGGUCUCCUCUUGUUAUUAAGGCAAGUCAGAAUGAAGGUGCAGUAGAAUGGAUCUGAUCUAUAGGCUUAGCCAAGAUUGGAGCAGGUGCUCAUGAGCUUUUUCAGUAGUCUUGAGAAAACUUUGCUGCCUGGUGUCAGGGUGGCAAACACUCAGCCAUGGGAGGAAGGCUGCAGGCUGUGAAUAGCUUCCAAGUAGCACAUUUUCAGGCAACAUUGAGGGGGUUAGGGAAACAAAUUACAAGUGAAUUCCUUUUCUUCACUCUAUGAUUAGACAAUAAUGAUCAAACCAGUACAUUUUUUCUUGAAAAAUGUUACAUUCAAAUUCUAACUGAUGUAAGUUUGCUUGUGUCAGAGGUUGUAGACCUUUAUAUUUCAGUCAUUUCAAGUUAUUUUUGGAAAAUUGUUUAAUGAUUAUAAAAGCCAUAAAAACAAUAGGUAUUUUGAAAAUUAAACUUUGUUAAUAUAGAAAAUUCAGCCAUUAUUAAGCUUAAUUAAAGAUUGAUCUUAAAUAACUCAUGAUAAUUGUACCACAGUGAAAAUAAAUGAUUCCUUUUUUAAAUAUAUUUUCUUAAAGUUAAAAUAGUGAAACCUACACAGGGGUAAAUAUUUAGCCUAGCUUUUAAGAUGUCUGCAUCCCAUAUUUGAUUCCCUGGGAUUGGGAUUGAUUCCCAGCUCUAGCUUUUGAUUACAGCUUUCUGCUAAUGCAGACUCUGAGAGACAGUGUUGUUGACUCGUGUGUUUGAGUCCCUGUGAUAAGGGCAGGCAGAUAGGAUUAAAUUAAUUAGAUUCAUGAGCUGGAAAAUCAUACCCCUGAUCUCUGCAUGAUCUCAUGCCCCUACUUAAUAUUACAUGCAUACAUCCAACUGUUGAUUAGAUGAUAUAAGCACUCCCCUUUGUAAGUGAAUAGAAGGUGUGGCACAUGCUGGGCCUGCCCCAUGUUUUCCUGUGCCUCUAGGCCCAUAGCCUUUUAGCCACCCCUACCCUGCUUUUCUGCCUAUGGGCUAGCCUACCUGUGAUAACUCCUAAUCACAUGCUUUGAUUUGUGCAGCUCCAGCUUAUGAAUUUCUCAAACAUGGCUCCUGGCCUGCUUUCUACCUGGUAUUGACUUCCCAGUUCAUGUUUCUAAACUCUUUUUCCCUUUCAUAAAGCCCUCCUUUUCUUGUGUAUUUUUCUCACUCUCUAAAUCAAAGCUAAACUUAUCAUGUUGCCUAUUUUCAUUAAGCUGAUAUUUAGAAUUCUUAUCUAUAUAGAGAGGUCCCUUGUGAUAUUAAUAAUAAAAUAGUUAAUAAUUUUAGAAUAAAGGUAAAUGAUUUCACCUGCCACCUAUUUGUAAUACCAUGCUUGAGUUUGUGGUCCCUGGUUUUGGCCCAGCCAGUCCUGGCCAUUGUGGGCAUUUGGUGGGAGAAACAUUGGAAAGGCGUACUCUCUCUCCCCUCUCCUUGAUCCCAAAUGAAUAGAAAGUACAUGUAUUGGUGUAGAAUUCUGUGGGCCUAAACCUCCCAUAUUGGAGUGCUACAUACAGCAAGUUAGAUAAUAAGCAAUAACUUGGUUAGUUCUCAAUCUUAGUAUGCAAAAUGUUCUCAUAGUAGUGUGGUGGUAGAGCACCAGAAACUGAUAGAAUCCUGGCUAGCCUCCUGUCUCCCACUCUCCCAAUCUGGAGAAGAGUCUCAGGACCUGAGAAAUGUCAACCAACAUGGGGACCACUGUUAUGGCAUAGCAGGUAAUUCUGCCACUUGCAACAUCAGCACUUUGCUCCUGAUUUGGGCCUGGCUCAGCCCUGGCCAUUUUGGCCACCUUGGGCAUGAACCAGAAGAUGGAAUGUAUCUUUCACUCUGUCUCACCCUUUUUUUCUGUAUCUCCUUCAAAUAAGGAUUAAAAAAAAAAAAAAAAAAACCAAAGUUCAGAACAACUAUUUAAAAACAUCAAUAGCUGGGUGCUGUGAAGGAUGUUGAUAUCUUGUGCUAGUCCUUGUAAUCAAGGUUUUUCUGUGGUGUCAUAACUGAUUUAGAUAAUGAGAAUUCUACACAUCUUGGGGGAAAGUUUCACGCAUUUUCUGUUGUGUCUGUUGAGUUUCAAGUGGAGCUUUUCCCCAAUUAACCAAUCAAAACUGUCCUUCUCCCUGACAGUCAAGAACUUCCCAUUUUACAACCUAUUAAAAAACAGCUAGAAAUCACUCAUUAAUGGCUGUCUUCUACAGGGAAUAUUUUGAUUUUGAUUUCUCUGUGUUUUUUCUUUUCUUCCUUUUUAAUUUUUAAUUUUUUUAAAAUUUUAAAAUUUUAAAAUUUUUAAUUUUUUUUAAAUUUUUAUUUAAUGAAUAUAUUUUUACAUAGAUACAACUUUAGGAAUAUAGUAGUUCUUCCCCCCAGUCCAUUCUCAUAUUACAAUUCAACAGGGACAGAGGUCCCACCUGGGGAGCAAGUGCACAGUGACUACUGUUGUUCCUUUAACAAUUAACACUCUUUUUUUAUGAUAUCAGUGAUCAUCCUCUUGCCAUGGGCUGCCAAGGCUCUGUAAGCCUUUUGUGACCACAGACUAUUGGUAUUUGGACACUGCCAUAAGCAAAGUGGAUGUUCACUUCUCCCUUCAGAGAAGACUGUCUCCUUCUUUGAUGACCCUUUCUUUCCUCUGAGGUCUCACAGAGAUCCUCCACGUAGGGUAAUUUUUGUCACAGAGUCUUGUCUUUCCAUGCCUGAAAUGCUCUGGCAGGCCUUUCAGCCCAACCAGGAAGCCUUUAAGGGUUGAUUCUGAGGUCAGAGUGUUAUUUACUGAGAAAGUCAUUCUAGGAGUCUGCUGUGUGGUCUGCUUCCCAUGUUGGUCCUUCCUUCCUUUUUAUUUCUAUUAUUUUUACUGUGUACUUGAUGUUAUUUAUAUUAUCCCUUUUAAACUUGGACUGAGCUAUCUGUUGCCUUUAACAUAUAAUAUGAUCAUUUUAACAGUGAAGAUGGUGUUUAUACCAUCAAUUCUUAUGGGUUUGGAGCCCCAUGACUAGUUCCUAGGCUUUACCCUGAGAGGGAAGUCUAUAUGUCUGUAUGCAGAACUAUACAAUUUUAUAAUUUUAUACUACUUCCUCCAUCUCUUAUUCCCUCCCUUAUUUUUAACUGGGAUCUUUUUCCAAUUGCCUUAAAAUACAUAUAAUUAACUCUCUGUUACAUAGAGAGUUCAGCAUUUAGUAUGAAGUAGAGAAGUGAGAGAGAAAGAAAUAAAACAGAAAAAACUGACAAAACAAAACAAAAAGGAUAUACACAGUAAAAGUAACAAUGGUAAACUGCCUCUCGACAAUCAGGUCAAGGGUUCUUGAAGACAUUGGUUCUAAAAGGGACAAUUUUGCUUCUACAGCUUUCAUUUUAUCUGCACUAUUAAUUCUCCCAAUUCAGGGAGAACAUAUGGUGUUUGUCUCUUUGGGACAAAGAUCAUACUCACUAAGUAUGAGGUUUUCCAGCUUGCUCCAUUCUGUUGCAAAGGACCGGAUUUCAUCCUUUUUUACUGCUGUAUAGGAUUCCACAGUGUACAUAUCCCACAAUUUCUUUACCCAGUCUUCGUUUGAUGGACAUUUAGGCUGCUUCCAUGUCUUAGCUAUUGUGAAUUGAGCUGCAAUAAACAUGGAGGUGCAGAUAGUACUUUUAUUUACUGAUUUCAUUUCCCUUGGGUAAAUUCCCAGGAGUGGGAAGGCUGGGUCAUAUGGUAGGUCUAUAUUCAGAUUUUUGAGGUAUCUCCAUACUGUUUUCUACAGUGGCCUUACCAGUUUACCUUCCCACCAACAGUGGGUUAGGGUGCCCUUUUCCCCACAUCUUCUCUAGCAUUUGUCGUUUGUUGAUUUCUGUAUGAGGGCCACUCUAACUCAGGUGAGGUGAAAUCUCAUUGUGCUUUUGAUUUGCAUUUCCCUGAUGGCUAGAGAUCCUGAACAUUUUUUCAUGUGUCUAUUGGCCAUUUGGACUUCCUCUUUUGAAAAAUGCCUGUUAAAAUCCUUGGCCCAUCAUUUUAUUGGGUUGUUUUGUUACUGUGGAGUUUCUUGAUCAUCUUAUAGAUUCUGGUUAUUAAUCCUUUUUCAGUUGUAUAGUUUGCAAAUAAUUUGUGUAGUUGCAAAUAAAAAACUCUGUUGGUUGCCUCUUCACUUUCCUAACUGUUUCUUUUGCUGUAAAGAAACUUCCCAAUUUGAGGUAAUCCAUUUGUUCAUUUUGGCUUUGACUACCUAUGCCUCUGGGGUCUUUUCCAGGAAUUCUUUGCCUGUUCCAAUGUCUUGAAGUGUUUCCCCUAUGAUCUCUAUUAAUUUGAUGGUAUUGUGGCAUAGAUUUAGAUCUUUAAUCCAUGUUGAGUGGCUUUCUGUAUAUGUUGUAAGGUAGGGGUCUUGCUUCAUACUUUGACAUGUGGAAAUCCAGUUUUCCCAGCACUAUUUGUUGAAGAGGCUGUCCCUGUUCCAAGGGUUGGUUUUAGCUCCUUUGUUGAAUAUGAGUUGGUUGUAGAUGUUUGAAUUGAUUUCCAGUGUUUCUAUUCUGUUCCAUUUGUCUAUCCGUCUGUUUUUGUACCAGUAACAGACUGUUUUGCUUAGAAUUGCCCUGUAGUGUGUCUUGAAGUCUGGUAUUGUCAUGCCUCCAGCUUUAUUUUUAUUGUAUAGAAUUGUUUUAGCUAUGUGAGGUCUCUUGUUCCUCCAUAUGAAUUUCAGCAUCAUUUUUUCUAGGUCUGUGAGGAAUGUCUUUGGUAUUUUGAUUGGUAUAGCAUUGAACCUGUAAAUUGCUUUUGGAAGAAUGGAUAUUUUGAUGAUAUUGAUUCUUCCAAUCCAUGAACAUGGCAGAUUUUUCCAUUUUUUGUGUCUUCUUCUAUUUCUUUCUUUAAUAUCUUGUAAUUUUCAUCAUAGAGAUCUUUUGACAUCUUUGGUUAAAUUUAUUCCAAGGUACUUGAUUGUUUUGUGGCUAUUGUGAAUGGGAUUGAUUUUAGAAGUUCUUUCUCAGCCACAGCAUUGUCUGCCUAUAUUAAGGCUGUGGAUUUCUGUGCAUUGAUUUUGUAUCCUGCUGCUUUACACUCAUAUGAGUUCCAACAGUCUCUUAAUGGAGUCCUUUGGGUCCUCUAAAUAUAGAAUCAUGUCAUCUGCAAAUAGGGAUAGUUUGACUUCCUCCUUUCCCAUUUGUAUCUCUUUGAUUUCUUUUUCUUUCUUAAUAGCUUUGUCUAAAACCACUAAGACUAUAUUGAAUAUCAAUGGUGAGAGUGGGUACCCCUGUCUGGUGCCAGUUUUCAAUGGAAAUGCCUCUAACUUUUCCCCAUUCAAUAUAAUGCUGGCCAUGGGUUUGUCAUAAAUUGCCUUAAUUGUGUUGAGGAAUGUUCCUUCUAAACCCAAUUUUCUUAGAGUUCUCAUUAUGAAAUGGUGUUGUAUUUUGUCAAAUGCAUUCUCUGCACCUAUUGAGAUAAUCAUAUGACUUUUGUUUCUCAAUUUGUUAAUGUAAUGUAUCACGUUGAUUGAUUUUUGAAUGUUGAACCAUCCCGGCAUACCAGGGAUAAACCCCACUUGUUCUGGGUGAAUGGUCUUUCUUUUUUUUUAAUUUAUUUAUUUUUUUGACAGGCAAAGUGGACAGUGAGAGAGAGAGACAGAGAGAAAGGUCUUCCUUUUCCAUUGGUUCACCCCCCAAUGGCCAGUAUGGCCAGCACACUGCACUGAUCCAAAGCCAGGAGCUAUGCAGUCUCCCAUGUGGGUGCAGGGUGUAAGGACUUGGGCCAUCCUCCACUGCCUUCCUGGGCCACAGCAGAGAACUGGACUGGAAGAGAGGCAACCAGGACAGAAUCUGGUGCCCCAACCGGGACUAGAACCUGGUGUGCUGACGCUGCAGGCAGAGGAUUAGCCUAUUGAGCCAUGGCACCGGCAAUCUUUCUGAUUUGUAAUUGGAUUCAGUUGGCCAGGAUUUUGUUGAUUAUUUUUGCGUCUAUGUUCAUCAGGGAGAUAGAUCUAUAUUUUUCUUUCUCUGCUGCAUCUUUUCUGGGUUUAGGAAAUAAAGUGAUAUUGGCUUCAUAGAAAGAAUUUUGGAGAACUCCCUCCCUUUCAAUUGUUUUGAAUAAUUUGAGAAGAACUAUGAUUAAUUGUUCUAUAAAUGUCUGGUAGAAUUCAGCAGUGAAGCUGUCUGGUCCUGGGCUCUAUUUUUUCAGUAGCACAUUUAUUACUGAUUCAAUUUCUUUCAUGGUUAUGGGUCUGUUUAGGUUUUCUAUGUCUUCAUGACUCAAUUUAUAUAACUUGUAUGUGUCCAGGAAUUUAUCCAUUUCUUCUAGGUUUCCAAAUUUGUUGGCAUACAGCUCUUUGUAGUGGUUUCUGAUGAUUAUUUUUAUUUCUGUUGUGUCUUUUGUUACAUUUCCAUAACCAUUUUUAAUUUUACUGCUUUGAGCCUUUUCUCUCCAAUUUUUUGGUUAGUUGGGCCAAUCGUGUGUUAAUUUUUUUUUUUUUCAAAAAACCAGCUCUUCAUUUUGCUGAUCUUUUGUAUUGUUUUUUUGAUUUCAAUUGUGUUGAUUUCUUCUCUUAGCUUGAUAAUUUCUUCUCUUCUACUAGAUUUGGGUUGGUUUGCUGCUGUUUUUCUAGAUCCUUGAGGUGCAUAGAGAAAUCAUUUAUUUGGUACCUUUCCAAUUUCUUGAUUUAGGUACCAGUUGUUAUAAUCUUUCCUCUUAGCACUGCUUUUGCUGUAUCCCACAAAUUUUGAUAAGCUGCAUUGUCAUUUUCAUUUGUUUCUGUGAAUCUUUUGAUUUCUCUUUUUGUUUCUUUUAUGACUAACUGUUCAUUCAGAAUCAAAUUGUUCAUUCUCCAUGUGUUUGCCUAUGAUGAAGAGAUUCUUAAGUUGUUGAUUUCAAGCUUCAUUGUAUUGUGCUCUGAAAAGAUGCAUGGUAUAAUUUCAAAAUUUUUUUUGAAUUUGCUGAGGCUCCCUUUAUGCCCUGCCUGUGGUCAAUCCUAGAGAAAGUUCUGUGCACUGGGAAGAAAUAUGUGUACUCUGUGGCUGUGGGGCGGAAUUCUCUGUAGAUAUCUACUAGGUCUAUUUGAUCUUAGUGUCAAUUAGCUCUGUUGUUUCCUUGUUGGUUUUCUGUCUGGUUGAUCUAUCCAUUGCUUAAAGUGAGCUAUUGAAGUUCCCUGUUACUAUUAUAUUUGAGUCUACAUCUCCCUUUAAAUCCUUUAAUAAUUUUUUCAAAUAGCCAGGUGCCCUGUAAUUAGGUGCAUAUACAUUUAUAAAAGUAAUAUAUUUGUGUUGGAUUGAUCCUUUAAUCAUUACCUAGUAUCCUUCUUUGUCUCUUAUAAUAGCUUUUGUGUUAAAGUCUAUUUUGUCUGAUAUUAGGAUGACCACACUGUCUCUUUUUUAGUUUCUGUUAGCUUGGAAUAUCUUUUUCCAUCCUUUCACUUUCAGUCUGUGUGCAUCUUUGCUGGUGAGGUGUGAUUUCUGAAGGCAACAGAUAGAUGGGUUUUCUUUUUUAAUCCAUUCAGCUAGUUUGUGUCUUUUGACUGUAGAGUUGAGACCAUUUACAUUCAGUGUGACUAUUCUUAAAUACUGUCUUUUUCCUGCCAUGUUUCCUUAAGUAGAGCUGUUUAUGUAUUUUGGUAUUUGUAUUUUAGCUGGGUCAUUUUCUACAUUGGUCUUCUUUUGUAGUAAAGUUCCUGUUUCUGUGUUUCUGCAUGAAGCACACCUUUGAGCCAGUGUUGUAGGGCUGGAUGCAAAGAUACAAAUUCUUUCAGUUUCUGUUUGUUGUGAAAUAUCUUUAUUUCCCCUUCAUUCAUAAAUGAUAGCUUUGCAGGGUUCAGUGUUCUCUGUUGGCAGUGUUUUUUUAAAACUUGCCUGUAAGGUUUGUGAUGAGAAGUCCAGGGUGAGUCUGAUUAGAUUACCUCUGAAUGUGAUUUUUCAUUUUCCUCUGACACAUUUUUCUCUGUGUUUUUCAAAUAAACUCAGCUUAUGCACUACAUAUUAUUCUUUGUUUAUACACCUAAUUCUUUGUGGUCAGGAAACACAAAUCUAAGUAUUUAGAACUGCAGAUUUCUUCAAUAAACCCCCCUGACAAGAGUCACAUAUUAUUUUUCUGUUUUUUUUUAAAUAUUUAUUCUCUUUAUUUUUUUAUUUGAAAUGCAGAGUUACAAAGAAAGGAAAAGGAGGAGAGAGAGAUCUUCCAUUAACUGGUUUACUUUCCAUAUGGCCACUACAGGAAGGACUGGGCCAGGCUAAAACCAGGAGCCUGAAUCUUUUUCCAACUCUCCCAUGCGAGUGCAGAGGUACAAGCACUUAAACCAUAUUCUUCUGUUUUCCAGGUGCAUUAGAAUGGAGCUACCUCAGAAAUGCAGCUGCUGGGUCUCAAAUUGGUGCCCAUAUGGGAGGACAGCAUUGCAGGUGGAGGCCUAACCUGCUAUGCCAAAAUACUGGUCCCAGUUCUUGCUUUUUCUAAAUAUUUUGACUCUAAGAUAGCUCAGAACUCCUGUUUUAGCUACUUUAAAAGUUACCUGUGGAUAUAGUAUGGAAGAAGAGAGAUGAUAGGAUGUGAAGAUGGUUGCAAAAAUAAUGCCACCAUACAGCAAAAUGUAUUUUUAAUUUGUGCACCACUGAGUCAGGAGUAGAAUUCUUUCUUUUAAAAUUAUAACCAAGCAGUAUCCCCCAAAACUUUCUAUCAGUAUAAAAGGAGUCAUGCUUCUUUGGGAAAUUAUGUGAUAUUGAAAUAUUUAUAUAGUUAACAUAAGGAAAUAAUGAUUGUAAAAAGUAAAACAAAACUUCAAAGAAGAUAGAUACUGUUCUGAGGUGUCAUAUUACAUCAAAAAAUUUCAAUGACUUUUUUUUUUUCUGACAACUUUCUAUUGGCAUGUUUGAACUAUACUUCCUCACCAAAGCCAUUUGAAAUGAAAUCCAUUAGGCAAGUUACUCCACCUCUCUUAAAUUGUGUAAAGUACCAUGGCAAUCUUUGCCACCUACAAGGAUAUACAAUAUGACCUCUGAAUUCUCUCCCAGUAAGUGGUAAUGCCUUGAUGAUAAAUAUGUUUUCUUCAGCAGAAGAACACUUCUUUUACCUUAGCUUAUGUGUAGAGAAAUAGGCUUCCUCAAAUUUUACAAUCUUGUUCUGUAUCUGGAUCUGCAGCAGGGGAACAAACUGGAGAGAGAACAGUUUUAGUGUAUCAGAGUGUGUGCCACCAUCACCCUGGAGUUACUGCAUCCCCUUAUUUGUGCUCACCUUUGUGAUUCAGUACUUUUGGAGCAGCUAGUAUCACCUCUACAUGAAAAAUUCACUGGUUCACUCUUCAAAUGGACCCAAUGGCCAGAGCUGGGCCAGUUUGAAUCCAGGAUCCAGAAGCUUCUUCAUGUUCUCCCAUGUGAGUGCAGGUGUCCAAGUAUUUGGAAUGGCUUCCACUGCUUUCCCCAGUGCAUUGGCAGAGAGUUGCAUUGGAAGUGGCACAGCAAGAACUUGAACCAGAACCCAUAUGGGAUUCUGCCAUCACAGACAGUGGCUUUAGCCACAAUGCUACUGAAAAUUAUUUUUUAGAGAUAGCUCAAUCACCAUAAUUAACUCCACUUUUUCCAUGUGACACACACACACACACACACACACAUAAUGUCUUGAACUGUUUUCAAUAUCAUUCUGGCAAAUCUGUCCUCCCUGCCUCUUUCAUACCUGUUAUUAAUUUGUUGUCUGACAUAUAAUAUCUCUGGCACUGGAUUGUCCAUUGUUUUCUAGCUUUCUAAUUUUGAAGUGCGUAAGAAGUUUUUUAGUUGUCUAACUUGGCAUUAUCCUAAUCUCAAGUGAACAUAAAACUUAACAUGUAAUUCUUGCCCCUUUAAAUAUCAUCAUGUGAAGUUGGAGAAAAUGUAGUAACCUACAGGCAUCAGUGUACUUUUGAGGGCUCCUUUCAAUUACUUUCUCUAUCUUCAUAUCUUAAUUGCCCAUGGAUGGUGUCUUCAUGACUCCCUGACAGAGGACCUCUCUGAUGCUUAGCAUAGACUAGAUACCAUUGUUAAAUACAUGUUUUAAAUGUAAAUGGAAAAUAACACAUUUAUUAUCUCAGAAUAUUAACCUCACUUUAUAAUUAUGUUCUCAUUUGUGUCAGUAUGUGGAUUAAUACUUCUGAGAACAUGUUUGGGAUCUAGUAAGGACUCAGUAAGUAUUUUCUGGAAAUGAUAUUCUAAUCAUAUAAUGAGGGCUAUGCCUCUUCCACAUGGAUUGGACAAGGUAGCUUAUAAGUUUGGGGGCCAAAAUGAGCAAGAGAUAACAUAAAAAAGAGAUCUCUGACUUGAAUAGACCAGUGGUUUCCCAACAACACUGGAGAAAUGCCAUAAUCUGCUAUGAAUCAUGGAUAAUAAACUCCGGGAGAAUGGGAUUGGAUUGAUUACUUUUUCCUUUACUCUUUUCAAAUUUCCUUGUAACACAGAUAUAUAGCAAUCUAGUUAGUUAUGUCAAGUAUCUUCUUGGCCUGGAGAAUUCAGAAAAUGUUAGAGACAAGUGAAGAGACAAAGUA